rnacentral:rRNA from 1 species
AUUGAACGCUGGCGGCAGGCUUAACACAUGCAAGUCGGGCGGAGAUGAGGUGCUUGCACCUUAUCUUAGCGGCGGACGGGUGAGUAAUGCUUAGGAAUCUGCCUAUUAGUGGGGGACAACAUUCCGAAAGGAAUGCUAAUACCGCAUACGUCCUACGGGAGAAAGCAGGGGAUCUUCGGACCUUGCGCUAAUAGAUGAGCCUAAGUCGGAUUAGCUAGUUGGUGGGGUAAAGGCCUACCAAGGCGACGAUCUGUAGCGGGUCUGAGAGGAUGAUCCGCCACACUGGGACUGGGACACGGCCCAGACUCCUACGGGAGGUAGCAGUGGGGAAUAUUGGACAAUGGGGGGAACCCUGAUCCAGCCAUGCCGCGUGUGUGAAGAAGGCCUUAUGGUUGUAAAGCACUUUAAGCGAGGAGGAGGCUGCUGAGACUAAUACUCUUGGAUAGUGGACGUUACUCGCAGAAUAAGCACCGGCUAACUCUGUGCCAGCCGCCGCGGUAAUAC